rnacentral:tRNA from 1 species
GCCUACUUAGCUCAAUAGGUAGAGCAUCGGUCUUGUUAAGCGGGAGGUUGCUAGUUCAAAUCUAGUAGUAGGCA